CCGUUCAAAUGGUGCCAGGCGCGGCGCGGCCCGUGAGGGCGGCGGGGGCCCGGCCGGACCGGGCGGGGCACGCUGAGGGCACCGGGGGUCCCGCCCGAGCGGCGGCGGGGCCGGGGCGCCGCCUCCCCGCGCCGCUCCCCUCGCACAGCUCCAGUCAGCGAGUGACCCAGUCACCACGCCCGGGGAGCAGUAGCACCCACCGAAGCUGGUGACACCAUAAAGCAGCAGCCCUUGUCCACCAGGGUGUUUGGAGACAUGGAGAUCGCUGGAACCACAUCCUAGGCUUUGGGGACUGCUUGAACCUUGUCCUUCCUUCCUGGAUAGCCUGGAGUUUUGUCCCCAGCCUGUCACAACAUGGUCAUCUGGGCAGCUGGGAGGUGGGUGAUCUGUAAGGAGCUCUUUGGAAAGGGAGAUCCUGGAAAGCACCCCCCAGAGAGGCCUAAAAUGUGCUGCUCUGGUUUUGCUCACUCGCUGUUUCGGAGGUGCCAGGGGAGAGACCACCCACAACCCCCAAACUCUGUCCUUUGAUCUCCACAUCCCAUCUUGAGGGAGAGUAUUAGCUUGUCCUCCUGAGCACCCACCAGGCUGGCAUUGAAAAGAGAUUGAAGAGUUCAAAAUGGCCUAGUGAGGUGUCUCUAACAUAAGGUGGAAUUUUGGGAAGGAGCAGAGGAUGGGCUGCCUUGGCAGGGUUCCCUCACCUCGGCUCUGGCAGCAUAAUGGAUCAGCUCAGCCCAGUGGGGACACAGAAUCAGGUUCCCAUGAGGACAGCAUCUCUGGCUGAGACUGGAGCCUUCCUUGUUUCCAGUGGUAACAGGCAAACCUUUGCUCCUGAAAGAGGGACUGUAACACAGCCCAUGGCAGUGAAGCCUCUUAAAAGCUGGUCUCAUUGCAGUUGUGUUAAUUAUUAAUAGGAAAAGGGGAAGAAAACACUGGAAAACCCCAACUGUUUAGGGCAAGCUGCUACCUCAUCUGUGUCCAGUGGUGUGGGCCUGGCUUUCCCCUGAUCCAAAGGGAGAUUUAUAGGUGUCUUUUCCAGUGACUGGUGUUGGCAAGUAGGAAUGAAGGGGCUUGACCACCUCUCUGAAAACCACAGCACUCCUAAACUGAGGAGCCAAAUGUGUCUUAAUGAAGAUUUGCCCCGCAAGGGAUAAAGUCCUUUUUGGCAGCAUCUCUGCCCAGCAAGUUGCUGGAAUUGCAGGAUCUGGUGGCACAGAGGCACUAGGGAUCCUGUCCCAGGAUCUGUACCCUGCAGAGCUGUGUGGCCAGGAUGGGACCCAAAGAUGGUGCUUGAACUGCACCCACAUAGUGAGUCAGAGCUUGGGGAUCUCAGCAGGCAAUUUUAAGGAAAAAUAAAUGGGGAAUUUUCGUCCAAAA